rnacentral:lncRNA from 1 species
AAAAAAAUCCAAGAUGAGGACACACUGGAACCACUUUCUCACAUGGCAGCUAUUGGUUAGAGCAGGUGGUGUGCUGAGCCAGAUCAUACUGGCUCACAAGAGCCAAUGAUAAAGUAUUCAGAAAUGCUGUGGGCCACGUGUUAAAUGGUAGCUUGAAAUCAGCCAUAGGAUCAUUUACACCAGCCAUGUUACCACCAGCCAUGUUACCAUGGAAACAUGGACAAUGGAAACAUUUGUCCAUUGUCCAUCUGCUCCUGCCCCCCAUUGGUCAAGGAUGAUGCCACCAGCAAAAUUCUCUUGUUCUAGAUUGCACAUACAUGAGUUGCCCUGGAAAAUCCCAAGUCAAAGAAGCUGCACUGCAGGAAAUCAGUAUGGUGCAGGCCCCAGGCAAGGCAUCACUGACUACACUUGCAAGAAACAAACGCCUGCAAAAAUCAGGACAGGAUGAUUUUGAAGCUGUGCAAAACAGUUGUCAUAGCCUUCUCCAGCAUGUGUUCCUUCUGUAUUUCAGACAUGGCAGAGGAGACACAGCAAUAACUAAGGGGCAACUAUUGCAUCCAGAAAAAAAAAAAAUGAAGAUAAUGACUUCUCUGCAACUAAGAUGAAGAUCCACUGAACUUUGGGGUUUGAAAUGCAACGUUAGAACUUCAGACUCCCGGCACCUAGGUCUCCAGCUGCUGGGUGGUGCCAGCAUCAGAGAUACACUCUGCAAAACAUAUACUGUCUUAGGAAAAAGUGACCCUGUUGUCCUUUCAGGCCCAUAUUCCACAAGAAGACAAAUGGAGAUGUAAAAGGAAAACUGCAGCUCCGACUGAAGAGAGAGCAAGUUGUCUGUUCUGAUACAGCCAGGAAAUAAGAUGUUCUGGUUAAUAUGUGCUAAAGAUGUGGUGCUGACUUUCCGACUCAGAAUAUGAUCACAUGUUUUUCUCAUUAAAACUAUAUUGAAUAUUAUUUGACCAUUGUUGAGUCAGUCAUCUUGAUAAAUAUUAUCUUCGUACAGUCCUGAGCAGAGAGUCAGUGACUAGAAUGCCACUGAAACCAGCUUUUUAUAGGACACGGUUUUCAUGGUUUUAGGGCAUGGAGAAACUU